UACGUAGGGUGCGAGCGUUAAUCGGAAUACUGGGCGUAAAGCGUGCGCAGGCGGUGAUGUAAGACAGAUGUGAAAUCCCCGGGCUCAACCUGGGAAUUGCGAUGGAGACUGCAAGGCUAGAAUCUGGCAGAGGGGGGGUAGAAUUCCACGUGUAGCAGUGAAAUGCGUAGAGAUGUGGAGGAACACCGAUGGCGAAGGCAGCCCCCUGGGUCAAGAUUGACGCUCAUGCACGAAAGCGUGGGGAGCAAACAGG
rnacentral:rRNA from 1 species